AGGGAAAUAGCUCAGUGGUAGAGUGGAUGCUUAGCUUGCAUGAAGUCUAGGUUCAAUCCCCAGUACCUCCA
rnacentral:tRNA from 1 species